rnacentral:rRNA from 1 species
AGAGUUUGAUCCUGGCUCAGAGCGAACGCUGGCGGCAGGCCUAACACAUGCAAGUCGAACGGUAACAGCGCUAGCUUGCUAGCGACUGACGAGUGGCGGACGGGUGAGUAACACGUGGGAACGUGCCUGUUAGGUUCGGAAUAACUCAGGGAAACUUGUGCUAAUACCGAAUGUGCCCUUCGGGGGAAAGCGGGGGAUCUUCGGACCUCGCGCUAUUAGAGCGGCCCGCGUCUGAUUAGCUAGUUGGUGAGGUAAAGGCUCACCAAGGCGACGAUCAGUAGCUGGUCUGAGAGGAUGAUCAGCCACAUUGGGACUGAGACACGGCCCAAACUCCUACGGGAGGCAGCAGUGGGGAAUCUUGCGCAAUGGGCGAAAGCCUGACGCAGCCAUGCCGCGUGUGUGAAGAAGGCCUUCGGGUUGUAAAGCACCUUCAGUGGUGAGGAAAAGGUGUUCUUAAUACCGGAUAUCUGUGACGUUAGCCACAGAAGAAGCACCGGCUAACUCCGUGCCAGCAGCCGCGGUAAUACGGAGGGUGCGAGCGUUAAUCGGAAUAACUGGGCGUAAAGCGCGCGUAGGUGGUUGAGUCAGUCAGAUGUGAAAGCCCCGGGCUUAACCUGGGAACUGCACCUGAUACUGUUGAGCUAGAGUACGGUAGAGGGCAGUGGAAUUUCCUGUGUAGCGGUGAAAUGCGUAGAUAUAGGAAGGAACACCAGUGGCGAAGGCGACUGCCUGGACUGAUACUGACACUGAGGUGCGAAAGCGUGGGUAGCGAACAGGAUUAGAUACCCUGGUAGUCCACGCCCUAAACGAUGUUCACUCGAUGUUGGCACAAGAUCGUCAGCGUCCAAGCGAAAGCGUUAAGUGAACCACCUGGGGAGUACGAUCGCAAGAUUGAAACUCAAAGGAAUUGACGGGGGUCCGCACAAGCGGUGGAACAUGUGGUUUAAUUCGAUGAUACGCGAGGAACCUUACCUGGGCUAGAAUGCGAGUGCGAUUCUCUGAAAGCGGAAGUUCCUUCGGGACACAAAGCAAGGUGCUGCAUGGCUGUCGUCAGCUCGUGCCGUGAGGUGUUGGGUUAAGUCCCGCAACGAGCGCAACCCCUAACUUUAGUUGCCAGCACAUAAUGGUGGGGACUCUAAAGUGACUGCCGGCGCAAGCCGCGAGGAAGGUGGGGAUGACGUCAAGUCAUCAUGGCCUUUAUGCCCAGGGCUACACACGUGCUACAAUGGCGCAUACAACGGGUAGCGAAGCCGCGAGGUGGAGCCAAUCCCCCAAAGUGCGUCCCAGUUCGGAUUGGAGUCUGGAACUCGACUCCAUGAAGGUGGAAUCGCUAGUAAUCGCGCAUCAGCCAUGGCGCGGUGAAUACGUUCCCGGACCUUGUACACACUGCCCGUCAAGCCAUGGAAGCUGGGGGUGCCUGAAGAUGGUGACUUUACGGGGAGCUAUCUAAGGUAAAACUAGUAACUAGGGCUAAGUCGUAACAAGGUAGCCGUA